UACGUAGGUGGCAAGCGUUGUCCGGAUUCACUGGGCGUAAAGAGCGCGCAGGCGGUCGUGCAAGUCGCGUGUGAAAGCCCCCGGCUCAACUGGGGAGGGUCACGCGAUACUGCUCGACUUGAAUCCGGGAGAGGGAUGUGGAAUUCCAGGUGUAGCGGUGAAAUGCGUAGAUAUCUGGAGGAACACCGGUGGCGAAGGCGGCAUCCUGGACCGGUAUUGACGCUGAUGCGCGAAAGCCAGGGGAGCAAACGGG
rnacentral:rRNA from 1 species